rnacentral:siRNA from 1 species
AUCAUGAGUUGUAAAGAGUAU